rnacentral:rRNA from 1 species
AAGAAAUUUAAAGUGAAAUAAGGGCGUAUGGUGGAUGCCUAGGGUCUGAGAGGCGAUGAAGGACGUGGUAAGCUGCGAAAAGCUUGGGAGAGCUGCACACGAGCAUUAUAUCCCAAGAUCUCCGAAUGGGACAACCCGCUAUAUUGAAGAUAUAGCACUCGCAAGAGAGCCAACCUCCUGAACUGAAACAUCUAAGUAAGGAGAGGAAAAGAAAAUAAUUAAAUGAUUUCCCAAGUAGUGGCGAGCGAACAGGAAAUAGCCCAAACCGAUACCGCGUGCGGUAUCGGGGUUGUAGGACUGCAUUUAGAAAUAGUUAUCAAGUAGAAUUACCUGGAAAGGUAAGCCGCAGAGCGUGAAAGCCGUGUAAACAGAAAUUAACUAGGACGAGCAGUAUCCUGAGUAGCGCGGGACCGGAGGAAUCCUGUGUGAAUCUGCCAGCACCAUCUGGUAAGGCUAAAUACUCCUCAGACACCGAUAGUGAACCAGUACCGUAAGGGAAAGGUGAAAAGAACCGUGAACAACGGAGUGAAAUAGUACCUGAAACCGUACGCCUACAAGCGGUCGGAGCUUCGCAAGAAGUGACGGCGUGCCUUUUGCAUAAUGAACCUACGAGUUACUAUUUACUGGCGAGGUUAAGUUUUUAAAAAAUGGAGCCGUAGCGAAAGCGAGUCCGAAUAGGGCGCAUAGUCAGUAGGUGUAGACGCGAAACUUUGUGAUCUAUCCAUGUGCAGGUUGAAGGUUUGGUAACACAAACUGGAGGACCGAACCCGUUGACGUUGAAAAGUCUUGGGAUGACGUGUGGAUAGGGGUGAAAGGCCAAUCAAACUGAGAGAUAGCUCGUUCUCCCCGAAAUGUUUUUAGGAACAGCGUUGCAUUAAGAAUUUUGUUAGAGGUAGAGCUACUGAUUGGACUAGGGGGCUUCACCGCCUGCCAAAUCCUGACAAACUCCGAAUGCUAACAAAUAUCUGCAGCAGUGAGGCUUUGUGCGCUAAGGUGCAGGGCCGAGAGGGAAAUAACCCAGAACAGCAGCUAAGGUCCCCAAUACAUGGUUAAGUUAAACAAACGAGGUGGAAUUUCUAGGACAGCCAGGAUGUUUGCUCGGAAGCAGCCAUUCAUUUAAAGAGUGCGUAACAGCUCACUGGUCGAGAGAUUCUGCACGGAAAAUGAUCGGGUAUCAAACCAUGAACCGAAGCUCUGUAAUAGUACACUUAAGUGUAUCAUUGGUAGGGGAGCAUUGAAAUUGCACCGAAGCCGUAUGGCGACGUAUGGUGGAGCGAUUUCAAAAGAAAAUGUAGGUAUAAGUAACGAUAAUUAAAGUGAAAAACUUUAACGCCGAAAAUCCAAGGGUUCCUGAUCAACGUUAAUCGGAUCAGGGUUAGUCCAGUCCUUAGGUGUACCCGAAAGGGGAAGCUGAUGGCAAUCAGGUUAAUAUUCCUGAACCUGCUAUACAUUAAAAGUGACGGAUCUUCAAGCUUUCUACGUACUUACGGAAUAGUGCGUUGAACGGAGUCUACGGACAAAGUGAAGAAGGGGAGAAGGUUCCAAGAAAAGCGAGUAUAGCGGCUGGUACCGUAAACCGACACAGGUGGAUGGGAAGAGUAUUCUAAGGCGCUCGGGUGAGCCGUGGAGAAGGAACUAGGCAAAUUAACGCUGUAACUUCGGGAUAAAGCGUACCACAGCAAUGUGGUUUCAAUAAAAUGGUGCGACCAACUGUUUAACAAAAACACAGGGCCCUGCGAAAUCGAAAGAUGAAGUAUAGAGCCUGAUGCCUGCCCGGUGCUGGAAGGUUAAGGAAGGAUGUUCGGAGUAAUCCAAAGCUUCUGACUGAAGCCCCAGUAAACGGCGGCCGUAACUAUAACGGUCCUAAGGUAGCGAAAUUCCUUGUCGGGUAAGUUCCGACCUGCACGAAUGGUCUAAUGAGUUGCACACUGUCUCCUCCACGAGCCCGGUGAAAUUGUAGUAUCGGUGAAGAUGCCGGUUACCCGCCACGGGACGGAAAGACCCCGUGAACCUUCACUACAGCUUUACAUUGAUCUUGAACAACCGAUGUGUAGGAUAGUUGGGAGACUAUGAGCCGGCUUCGCCAGGAGUCGGGGAGUCACUGUUGAAAUACCAACCUUCUGUUGUUUAGGACCUAACCCAAUGCGAUUGGGGACAUUGUAUGGCGGGUAGUUUGACUGGGGUGGUCGCCUCCUAAAAAGUAACGGAGGCUUGCAAAGGUACCCUCAGUACGGUUGGUAAUCGUACGCAGAGCAUAUUGGUAUAAGGGUGCUUGACUGUGAGACAGACACGUCGAACAGGGACGAAAGUCGGCUAAAGUGAUCCGGUGGUUCUGUAUGGAAGGGCCAUCGCUCAAAGGAUAAAAGGUACUCCGGGGAUAACAGGCUGAUCUUACCCAAGAGCUCAUAUCGACGGUAAGGUUUGGCACCUCGAUGUCGGUUCGUCACAUCCUGGGGCUGGAGAAGGUCCCAAGGGUUCGGCUGUUCGCCGAUUAAAGUGGCACGCGAACUGGGUUCAGAACGUCGCAAGACAGUUCGGUCCCUAUCUGUGGUGGGCGCAAGUAAAUUGAGGGAACAUGCUCUUAGUACGAGAGGACCGGAGCGUAUGUACCGCUGGUGUACCAGUUGUGAUGCCAAUUGCAUUGCUGGGUAGCUAUGUACAGACAGGAUAAACGCUGAAAGCAUCUAAGCGUGAAACCUAUCUCAAGAUGAGUUUACUGUUAAGGGUCGUAGGAGACGACUACGUUGAUAGGCUGCAGGUGUACAGGUGGUAACAUCUUAGCUGAGCAGUACUAAUAGCCCGUAAGCUUUAUAAA